UACGUAGGGACCGAGCGUUGUCCGGAAUCAUUGGGCGUAAAGAGCGUGUAGGCGGCUAUUUAAGUCCUGCGUGAAAUCCUGCGGCUCAACCGCAAGCGGUCGUGGGAAACUGGGUGGCUAGAGUGCGGGAGAGGAGAGUGGGAAUUCCGUGGUGUAGCGGUGGAAUGCGCAGAUAUCAGGAAGAACACCCGUGGCGAAGGCGGCUCUCUGGAACGCAACUGACGCUGAGACGCGAAAGCGUGGGGAGCAAACAGG
rnacentral:rRNA from 1 species